AUGCUCAACCUCAACGGCUGCUCCGCCGGUGCCGCCUCGCUGCGCCUCGCCAAGGACCUGGCCGAGAACAACCGCGGUGCGCGCGUCCUGGUGGCAUGCGUCGAGCUCACCAUUGUCGCCUUCCGCGGCCCCGAGGAGGACUACCCAAACAGGCUCAUCAGCCAGGCAGUCUUCGGCGAUGGCGCCGGCACGGUCAUCGUCGGUGCUGACGCCGUGCACCCCGUGGAGCGCGCGCUCUUCGAGAUGGUAUCGGCCUCGCAGACCACGAUACCAGCAACCGACGGCGUGCUCAACAUGCACCUCACGGAAGCCGGCCUCGACGGCCACAUCUUCACCAGGGAGCUCGUUCCUCUAGCGGCACAGCAGAUCGAACAGUGUCUCACGGAUGCUUUCCAGCCGCUUGGAAUCAUGAGCCAUGGCACCAAAUGGAACGAUAUGUUCUUUGUUGUGCACCCUGGUCUCCGUGGAAUAAUGGACCACAUCGACAGGGCUCUCCGGCUGGAUCCCGGGAAGCUCGCGGCGAGCCGUGCUGUGCUGAGAGAGUACAGGAACAUGCUUGGUGCCACGUUGAUCUUCGUGCUCAACGAGCAACGGCGGCGAAUGGAGGAGGUCGGGGAAACUGGCGAGUGGGGUGUGAUGAUGGGAUUUGGACCGGGGUUCACGGUCGAGACCAUGGUGCUGCAUGCGGUGGCCAGCAACCUGCGCAACAAAAUUUGA
rnacentral:rRNA from 1 species